rnacentral:rRNA from 1 species
GAUGAACGCUAGCUACAGGCUUAACACAUGCAAGUCGUGGGGCAGCGGAUACUUAGCUUGCUAAGUAUGCCGGCGACCGGCGCACGGGUGAGUAACGCGUACCGAACCUGCCCAUCACACAGGGAUAGGCUUGCGAAAGCAAGAUUAAUAGCUGAUGGUCUCAAUUUUAUGCAUGUAUGAUUGAGUAAAGCCUUCGGGCGGUGAUGGAUGGCGGUGCGUCCCAUUAGGAAGUUGGCGGGGUAACGGCCCACCAAUCCUUCGAUGGGUAGGGGUGCUGAGAGGAAGGUCCCCCACAUUGGAACUGAGGUACGGUCCCAACUCCUACGGGAGGCAGCAGUGAGGAAUACUGGUCAAUGGGCGCGGGCCUGAACCAGCCGAGUAGCGUGCGGGAUGAAGGCCCUUGUGGUCGUAAACCGCUUUUGUCAGUGAAUAAAGUGCACCACGUGUGGUGUCAUUGCAGGUAGCUGAAGAAAAAGGACCGGCUAAUUCCGUG